GACAGAGGGUGCAAACGUUGUUCGGAAUUACUGGGCGUAAAGCGCGUGUAGGCGGCUUCGCAAGUCGGAUGUGAAAUCCCACGGCUCAACCGUGGAAGUGCAUUCGAAACUGCAAGGCUAGAGUUCUGGAGAGGAAGGUGGAAUGCUUGGUGUAGAGGUGAAAUUCGUAGAUAUCAAGCGGAACACCGGCGGCGAAGGCGGGUCUCUGGGCCAUAACUGACGCUGAGGAGCGAAAGCGUGGGGAGCGAACAGG
rnacentral:rRNA from 1 species